AAGCUCGUAGUUGAAUUUCGGGGUUAGUAGGUUGGUCAUGCCUCUGGUAUGUACUGGUCUCACUGAUUCCUCCUUCCUUAUGAACCGUAAUGCCAUUAAUUUGGUGUUGCGGGGAAUUUGGACUGUUACUUUGAAAAAAUUAGAGUGUUUAAAGCAAGCUAACGCUUGAAUACAUUAGCAUGGAAUAAUGAAAUAGGACGUUCGAUCUUAUUUUGUUGGCUUCUAGGAUUGACGUAAUGAUUAAUAGGGAUAGUUGGGGGCAUUAGUAUUCAAUUGUCAGAGGUGAAAUUCUUGGAUUUAUUGAAGACUAACUACUGCGAAAGCAUUUGCCAAGGAUGUUUUCAUUAAUCAAGAACGAAAGUUAGGGGAUCGAAGACGAUCAGAUACCGUCGUAGUCUUAACCAUAAACUAUGCCGACUAGGGAUCGGAUGAUGUUAAUUUUUUAAUGACACAUUCGGCGCCUUACGGGAAACCAAAGUGUUUGGGUUCCGGGGGGAGUAUGGUCGCAAGGCUGAAACUUAAAGGAAUUGACGGAAGGGCACCACCAGGGGUGGAGCCUGCGGCUUAAUUUGACUCAACACGGGGAAA
rnacentral:rRNA from 1 species